rnacentral:rRNA from 1 species
AUUCCCUCAGUAACGGCGAGUGAACAGGGAAAAGCCCAGCGCCGAAGCCUUCGCUUUUUUAACAAACGGGCGAAAGGCAAUGUGGCGUUUAGGAGGAGCCUCUAUGACCUGUGCGAUUAGUCGGCCGGACGGUGGGAGCCCAAGUCCCCCUGACCGGGGCCACUGCCCACGGCGGGUGCAAGGCCCCUGCGGCUUCAAUGCACCGUCCGGAGGUUACGGCUCUCUCCUUGGAGUCAGGUUGCUUGAGAGUGCAGCCCGAAUAGCGGUGGUAAACUCCAUCGAAGGCUAAAUACUUCCACGAGACCGAUAGCAAACAAGUACCGUGAGGGAAAGUUGAAACAGGACUUUGGAGAGAGAGUUCAAGAGUACGUGAAACCGUUCGGAGGUAAACGGGUGGGACCUCGAAGGUCGAACGGGGGGAUUCAACCCUUCGGUAAAAACACCCCGCGCGACUCGGGCGUUUGCAAAACGCAGCAACUUUGCGGGAGGGGCGGAGGGGUUCGACCCUCUGCUCUCUUUCUCGUCACUGUUGUAUUUCGGAUCCCGUAAAAAAGGACCGAUCCGAGUGAAAUGCAGCGGGUGCCGGAGGGCGCACUUCCCCCUCAGUAGGACGUCGCGACCGGUCGGGUCAAAAUAAAAGUACGGCCGUCAGGCAUUCGAGUAACCAAGUCGGGUAGGUAUCCGUGCAUCCCGGCCGGGGAACGUCCCGAUUCGCGUCGGGCUCCGUUCUCCAACUCGCGCCGGUUCGGAACAUACAACCCGCCUCGAUGUCGUGCACCGUCACCCGACCGACCUGUGGUCGACAAAAAUCCGUUGAUGCGUACCAGAGUCUCAUCGCGCAGACUCUCGCUCUGGUCCCGAACAGGUGGGUGCGUUUGGAGUAAAAGCCUCCGCUUCUGUGCAAGCGACGAGGUCCGGCGGGCGCUUCUGAAAAACGGAGCGGCCGUCGGCUCCCCACUCACCSUUGUUCACGGGGACACGAUCUGGCGUAACAAAUGAAUGGUACCAACGGUCGGCGAC